rnacentral:rRNA from 1 species
AUAGAGACUCAGAGCUGCAUAUCAAUAAGCGGAGGAAAAGAAACUAACUAGGAUUCCCCUAGUAACGGCGAGUGAAGGCGGGAAGAGCUCAAAUUUGAAAUCUUCAAGGGUUCUGCCUUUACGAAUUGUAGUUUAAAGAAGUGUUUUCUGUUGGAGUUUUGGUAAAAGUUCUUUGGAAUAGGACAUCAUAGAGGGUGAGAAUCCCGUAUUUGACCAUUAUUUUCAGCUGUGUGAUACACUUUCAAAGAGUCGGAUUGUUUGGGAAUGCAGUCCAAAAUGGGUGGUAAAUUUCAUCUAAAGCUAAAUAUUGGCGAGAGACCGAUAGCGAACAAGUACCGUGAGGGAAAGAUGAAAAGAACUUUGAAAAGAGAGUUAAACAGUACGUGAAAUUGUCAAAAGGGAAGCGUUUGACACCAGUGUUGUUUUCUCGAAAAUCAAUUAAAAAUGGCUGGAUUUUGUGUUGUAUUGACUUUAUCGGCUUUCUGCACUUUUUUCAUGUCUUUUUUAAUGCACUUUUCGUUUAACAAGUCAACAUCAAUUUCUUUUGUUGUAAAAGGGUUAUUGGAAGGUGGCUUUCUCUUCGGAGAAAGUGUUUAUAGCCUUUAACCUCUGCAAUCGGAGAGAUUGAGGUCUGCAGCGUAGAUCCUUCGGGGUUAGAUACAUUUGUGCUAAGUUAUAGUCUUUUAUAGACAACUUGUUGACUAUGAUUAAGUCUUGUAGCUUACUCGCUUAUGCUAUUUUACCUACGCUUAGGAUGUUGAUAGUCACAGCGUGUAC